rnacentral:lncRNA from 1 species
CGUGAAUGUGACGUAUAAAAUAUUACAAACGUACUAAACACGUGCGACCUAUGCCUCUUCAAAGAAGCUAAGUUUAUCUUUUUUUUAACCUGCAUUCAUAUUUAUUUGGUAAAUAAAUAGGGGACAUGUAUUUGGUAGCUUGACUGAGAAAAAUUGUUUUCUUUGUCUUCCAUUGGGACUAAGAGAUAAAAUUUCUUACAUAUAUGGAGACAGAACAAAGGAUAUGUAUCGGUAUAUAUGUU